rnacentral:rRNA from 1 species
GACGAACGCUGGCGGCGUGCUUAACACAUGCAAGUCGAACGGAAAGGCCCUGCUUUUGUGGGGUGCUCGAGUGGCGAACGGGUGAGUAACACGUGAGUAACCUGCCCUUGACUUUGGGAUAACUUCAGGUAACUGGGGCUAAUAUCGGAUAGGAGCUCCUGCUGCAUGGUGGGGGUUGGAACGUUUCGGCGGUUGGGGAUGGACUCGCGGCUUAUCAGCUUGUUGGUGGGGUAGUGGCUUACCAAGGCUUUGACGGGUAGACGGCCUGAGAGGGUGACCGGCGACAUUGGGACUGAGAUACGGCCCAGACGCGUACGGGAGGCAACAGUGGGGAAUAUUGCACAAUGGGCGGAAGGCUGAUGAAGCAACGCCGCGUGCGGGAUGACGGCCUUGGGGUUGUAAACCGCUUUCGCCUGUGACGAAGCGUGAGUGACGGUAAUGGGUAAAGAAGCACCGGCUAACUACGUG